AUUGAACGCUGGCGGCAGGCCUAACACAUGCAAGUCGAACGAGUGGCGGACGGGUGAGUAAUGUCUGGGAAACUGCCUGAUGGAGGGGGAUAACUACUGGAAACGGUAGCUAAUACCGCAUACCAUCAGAUGUGCCAAGAUGGGAUUAGCUUGUGGGGGGGGUAACGGCUCACCAGGGCGACGAUCCCUAGCGGGUCUGAGAGGAUGACCAGCCACACUGGAACGGAGACACGGGCCAGACGCCUACGGGAGGCAGCAGGGGGGAAUAUUGCACAAUGGGCGCAAGCAUGAUGCAGCAAGGCCGCGUGUAUGAAGAAGGCCUUCGGGUGGUAAAGUACUUUCAGCGGGGAGGCGUUACCCGCAGAAGAAGCACCGGCUAACUCCGUGCCAGCAGCCGCGGUAAUAC
rnacentral:rRNA from 1 species